AUCGCUUCUCGGCCUUUUUGGCUAAGAUCAAAAGUGUAGUAUCUGUUCUUAUCAGCUUAAUAUCUGAUACGACUCUCAUAGAGGGUCAAGAUAUUAAACCAAUUUUUGUAGGUAGGCGAAGUGUGUGAGCUGUGCUCAACCUUUGCCACGGGUUGGCCUGGUAUUGCACUUACCUCCAGGAUCGGCCCAAAUUUU
rfam:Euroglyphus maynei isolate Arlian Lab scaffold5192, whole genome shotgun sequence.